UGAGGAAUAUUGCGCAAUGGUCGCAAGACUGACGCAGCAACGCCGCGUGAGGGAUGAAGUACUUCGGUAUGUAAACCUCUGUUAGAAGGGAAGAACGGGUGGAUGUCGAACAGGCAUUCAUCGUGACGGUACCUUCAGAGAAAGCCCCGGCUAACUCCGUGCCAGCAGCCGCGGUAAUACGGAGGAUGCGAGCGUUAUCCGGAUUUAUUGGGUUUAAAGGGUGCGUAGGCGGAUUAUUAAGUCAGUGGUGAAAACCUGCAGCUUAACUGUAGACUUGCCAUUGAUACUGGGAAUCCUGAGUAUGGUCAAGGCAGGCGGAAUGUGUAAUGUAGCGGUAAAAUGCUUAGAUAUUACACAGAACACCGAUAGCGAAGGCGGCUUGCUGGGCCGUUACUGACGCUGAUGCACGAAAGCGUGGGGAUCGAACAG
rnacentral:rRNA from 1 species